AGUAAGGGAGAUGGUGUGGGCUGUUCUGUAUUUAAAAGCCUCAUUGGGGAGGGCUCAUUGAGAAGGUAACAUUAGAGCAGAGAGUUUAGGGAGUAGAGAGUGUGUACCACACAGAUAUCUGGAGGAAAUGUGUCCCAGGCAGAGGGGCCAGUUGUGAUAAAGCAGUACGUAUGGUGAGGGUGUGCCUGGUGUGUUUCAGUAAGGAUGCCAGCAUGGCCGUGGGGUGAGCAGCCAGGAUUAAGAGAACAGUCCAAAAGGUAACAAGAGGCAGGAUCACAUAUGCUUCAUUGGUGUUUCCACUGAGUGAACCGGAGCUCAUGGAAGGUUUUGUAAGAGGAGUGACGUGAUCUGAUGUUUUAGAAGGAUCCUUCUGGCUGAUGCAUUGAGACAGAUGGUAGGGAGUGUACACGACGUGGGCACCACUGUUCACCCUGCAGCUGCUCCCCAGUCAGAGAGGAAGGCCCCACUCAUUGAUGCUGCAAAUGUUUGGACUCUCGUGGGAUUCUGGGCUCUCCUCCAGGCUUGGAGGCUCUAGGCCCAUACUGCAUCUGUGGGGAUGGUGUGUCCUGCUCCCCGCCUUCUGGAGGAGAUCAGAUCCCACCCUGUGGAGGCAAGAUUGCAUGGUUUGCUCUCAUCCUCUAUAGACUCAGAUGCUGGCCUUGCUUCAGAAGCAAACAGAUCCUUCUGCUGGGUCCUCACUGCCUUUAUCACAGUUGUCUUUAUACUAAAGUAUACUUUGUGCUGAAAUGACUGGCUUUUUUUGUCUGCUUUUCAAACUGACUCUGCAGAAAUGGAAACUUCCUCAUUUUUAUUUUAAUCUCAAGCACCAGCGGAAUGUCUAAUACAAGUAGGGAUUUGUCAUAUGUUUAAGAACUAAAAGAAUGAAUGAACAGAGACUGUCUUAGUCUUCUCAAGUUGCUAUAAGAAAAAAGCAUAGACUGGGCAGCUUAAACAACAGAAAUUUAUACCUUGAAGUUCUGGAGGCUCAGAAGUCCAAGAUCAAGGUGCCAGGAAGAACACAGUGUUUCCUCCAGCCCUGUCCCUGCUCCUCACUUCCGGCCCCAGGAAGCAGCCAGAUGACAAGAGGCCACUGGGUAAACGUCUCUUGUUCUCUGAAGAAUGUUAGACUGUGAGGAUGUACCUCUGAGGUUUUGGGAGGACGAAAUGAAGAAGUACAAUGGCUGGACAGCAUAAGCACUCAGUCCAUCGCCGGAAAGGGUGCGUCACCGAACUCUAGAUGCUGCCAUCUUGUCAGGCUAGAGAUGGGAAGUGAGGCACAGGCCCUGCUUGCUCUCAGAUCCAGCACUGAAGGGGAGAGCAAUCACCUCCUCCACACCCUGGGCUCAGCUGGGCAGGGAGUGAGGAGGUACAAUCUGACUCUAUGUCCCACAAGUCGCGAUGUGGCAACUGGAAAUGUUUACUGAAAAUGGUAACCACACAACAACUUUGUAAGGGACCAGAUUUGUCAUCAGAUCCAAGAGGCAAACACUGCUUCGCAGACGUACAGUGGGAACUAUACUGUGCACUUGCACGUGAGAUGGCCCUCUACCUGUUUUGGCAACCACAAGACGGACCCUUUAUAUACAACCCUGGGGAGUCCUCCCUUCAGGACAUCUUUCCAUUGAAAUACAGAGAUGAUGACUUCAGCCACUGUGGUGAAGUCUCAAUGGAGGCCAUUCAGGUGGGAGAAGAGAGGAGCUUGGACCACCAUGGUGGAUGUGGAAAUGCAGACAGGAACUCACGGGGUAUUUGGAAUAGAAUCUGUAGAACUCGGUGAUGGUUGAACUACAGGGUAAAAAGGGAGAACAAUGACUGAAAGAAACAUCUGACCUGAGCAUCCAGGCUUCGUACUGAGAAGGGGAGCCUGGAGGAAGCUCCGGACAUCAAGAGCUCUAGUUGUGUUUGGGAUGCCCAGCAGACAGCAGGGUACUUGGAUCUGGAGUUUAGAGUAGCAGUCCAAGCUAGAGAUGCACAUGUGGGCAUUCACAGCCCUGUAUUGUGGUGAAUGCAUGCAUGAAUGAGUAAAGUGUUACUAAGAUUGGAACUCAGAUUUGUCGAACUGAACAGUUAAUAUUUUAUAUACUAUUCAGUCACCCUCCAAUGAACUAAAUUCAGUAAAAGGGUGACUCUUCCAGUAUCCAGAGACUAAGUCCAAGGCAAAAGGUGGUACCUCCCAGAUCAAGACAACAGCCUGGAUUCUCAGAAGUCUUGAGAACAGGCAGAACCCAAGAGUCUCCAGAGUCAGGGACUCUGGCAUAAGAUCUGGAGGUACAUAGGAAGAAGAAGAAUCCUGGGGAGUGUAGGAUCCCAUAACAUCCCCACACUGCACUAGACCAAAACUCUCCAGAGUAGACUUUCAUAAGUAUGUACAGUACUCAGUGUAUUAGUAAGGCUGGGCUAAACUAGAUGGCAAGAACAAACAAUGCCUCCAUCUCAAUGACAUAACUCCACCAAGUGCCAUAGGGGUCAGGCACCAUUGGAGACAGUUUUCCAAGAGCACUUCCUGGAUCAGGACUAUCUGCCCCCUCCCAACAGUGAUAUCCUGAUGGUCUUGAAAGUGUGGAGAAUUCACAGCUGCCCCUGACAACUUUGAACUGGAAGCCACACAAAUGUCUGCCACUCCCAGCCUAAGGACCUGGCGUGUGGCCCCAGCCCAGCUGCAGAGGAGACCCGGUGAUGGAGAGGAGCCUGUGGAGGCUUCAUGAAGAGUGACUGUCCCUGCCUCGUGAGCAGGUGCACAUGGUCUUUCCUUCUUCCAAUGGGAGAAGUGAUGAGACAGGAUUGGGAGAUCCAAGUGGGAGACGAUUGGAGAGGGUCAAGGCUGGGGAUGAUGGCAUUCAAUCAACCUUUGACUGAGAGCUAGGAUCAGAAAUCUGUAACUGGAACCAUGUCUGUUUCUAGUCACAGGGAUUCCAUUUUCUCCCAUUCUCUACAUGUGCUACUCAUUGGAAAAUGCUGCUACUUCUGUGACCUGGAGGAGAGGUUAAAGUGAUUUACUCUGUCACAGCAUGAGGUCUGUGCCCUCUCGUGCCUGCUACCACCCAGGAUCCAUGUGGAGGAGAGAGCUGGGAGGGUGGGACAAGACUGCCCUGACUGAGCCGAAUCCUGAGAGGCCACAUUCAGGGAACUCCCCACAGGCCCAAACCUUCCUAAGCCAGGAUCAUGGUCUCUGCCAGUGAGUUUCUGUAUCCUUCCAGCAUAGUGAUCUUAUCGGGGCAGAUUAAAAAUGAGAAUGGGCCCAUAAAACAUGCAUUAUGGUCUCUCAAAGCCUCAUAAAGCCAGAUGAAUGCCUUGCUCCAAAGGUCCUUACACGGAGUUUACACCUCUCUCCCUCUCCAUAAUGGAAUUGUCAACAACAGAUUAUUGAAGUUAAAAAAAAAUUAGUUAACUUGUCAAGUUCAACCCACUUUGAAUCAUUUGGCCUCAUGGAUUUCCUGGAGUAAAGUGGAUCGUGCCAGAAGAUACCUGUUUUUCCUUGGCCCUAAAUAGCUCCUCCACAUUUUCCAUGAGGCUUGGAGCAAAGGCACAGAAAGAAAUCUUAGGGACAGCUCUUCAUUUCUGGGCAGUUCCAUCUCCUCAUCCCACCUUCCCACUGGUACCUAAGUCUGCAGCCCCAAAACAAAGUGUUUCAAUUCAGGCAGAUACCAGGCUUCUUAUGAGUCUAUUCCCAGGAUUUCAGAUCCUCUCCUGAGAAUCAGCCUUGACAGGAAGAAGAGAGAGCUGCUAGACAUUGGGCAGAUUUUCUGUUCCUCUAUCUCUGACCACCCCCGGCCAAGGGUAAGUUACCCACACAUUGCAGCCUUGCCUUUCUGUUCUCAGGCAGGAAGGAUUGAAGGUGCUGGAGUGGAGCGACGAACCCGGCUCGUGGCAUGCUCUGACUCUGGUCAAGCUGCCACCUCGUGCAAGUAAUUCUGUUCCCAGAUCCCCUGCACCCAAGUCCUUGUCUUGCUACUGUGUCCUCUGAGAGUGGAGAUUAUCGAGGGGAUGGGAAUCCUGACUGGCAAUCCAAGCCAGCCACGG